rnacentral:rRNA from 1 species
GAUGAACGCUGGCGGCGUGCCUAAUACAUGCAAGUAGAACGCUGAAGGAGUAGCUUGCUCUUCUGGCUGAGUUGCGAACGGGUGAGUAACGCGUAGGUAACCUGCCUGGUAGCGGGGGAUAACUAUUGGAAACGAUAGCUAAUACCGCAUGACAACAGUUAUUGCAUGAUAACUGUUUCAAAUGGGCAACUGCUCCACUACCAGAUGGACCUGCGUUGUUUUAGCUAGUUGGUGAGGUAACGGCUCACCCAGGCGACGAUACAUAGCCGACCUGAGAGGGGGAUCGGCCAGACGGGGACUGGGCCACGGCCCAGGCUCCUACGGGGGGCAGGAGUAGGGGAGCUUCGGAAAUGGACGGAAGUCUGACCGAGCAACGCCGCGUGAGUGAAAAAGGUUUUCGGAGCGUAAAGCUCUGUUGUAAGAGAAGAACGAGUGUGAGAGUGAAAAGUUCACACUGUGACGGUAGCUUACCAGAAAGGGACGGCUAACUACGUG